rnacentral:ncRNA from 1 species
AAAAAGUUUUAUCUUAGCUUGAAAAAUUGGUGUAUAUUUUGUAAAAAUGUGAAUUUUAGGCCAUUAAACAUAAUUUUGCAGGUGCUAAAUUUAUAAAUAAUAAUAGAAAUAUUGAGUUAAAAAUAUAUAAAUAUAUAGACAAAUUUUGUGCCAGCAGUUGCGGUUAUACAAUUUAAUAUAAUUAAUUUAGUUAAAUUUUUAAUUAAAAUUAUUAAAAUUUAUUAUAAUUUAUAUUAUUAAGUGAAAUUUUAAUAUAAUUAAUUUAAUUGUUAAUGAUUUUGUAUUAUUAGAUUUUUAUAUAAACUAGGAUUAGAUACCCUAUUAUUUUAAAAGUAAAAAAAAAAAUUAAUUAUUAAUUGUUAUAUUCAUGAAAAUUAAAAGAUUUGGCGGUAUUAUAAUCUAUUUAGAGGAACCUGUUCAAUAAUUGAUAAUCCACGAUUAAUUCUACUUGUUUAAAUUAGUUUGUAUAUCGUUGUUUAAAAUUUUUUUUAAGAAAGAAAAAUUUAAAAUUUUAUUAAGAAAGUAAAUCAAAUCAAGAUGCAGUUUAUAGGCAAGAUGUAAUGGGUUACAUUGAAAUUUAUUGUUGGGGGUAUAAGUGAAAAAUUAUAUUAAAAUUGGAUUUAAAAGUAAUUUAAUUGAUUUUAAUUAAAUGAUCAAAGUUCUAUAAUAUGUACAUAUUGCCCGUCGCUUUCAUAUAAUAUGGAAUAAGUCGUAACAUAGUAGUUGUACUGGAAAGUGUGGCUAGAAAGAC